CAUUUAAAGAAAGCGUAAUAGCUCACUGGUCGAGUCGGCCUGCGCGGAAGAUGUAACGGGGCUAAACCAUGCACCGAAGCUGCGGCAGCGACACUCAGGUGUUGUUGGGUAGGGGAGCGUUCUGUAAGCCUGUGAAGGUGGCCUGUGAGGGUUGCUGGAGGUAUCAGAAGUGCGAAUGCUGACAUAAGUAACGAUAAAGCGGGUGAAAAGCCCGCUCGCCGGAAGACCAAGGGUUCCUGUCCAACGUUAAUCGGGGCAGGGUGAGUCGACCCCUAAGGCGAGGCCGAAAGGCGUAGUCGAUGGGAAACGGGUUAAUAUUCCCGUACUUGGUGUUACUGCGAAGGGGGGACGGAGAAGGCUAUGUUGGCCGGGCGACGGUUGUCCCGGUUUAAGCGUGUAGGUGUGUGUUCCAGGUAAAUCCGGUUCACUUUAACACUGAGGCGUGAUGACGAGGCACUACGGUGCUGAAGCAACAAAUGCCCUGCUUCCAGGAAAAGCCUCUAAGCAUCAGGUAACAUCAAAUCGUACCCCAAACCGA
rnacentral:rRNA from 1 species